rnacentral:rRNA from 1 species
GGCCUACGGGGGGCAGCAGUCGGGAAUAUUGCGCAAUGGAGGAAACUCUGACGCAGUGACGCCGCGUAUAGGAAGAAGGUUUUCGGAUUGUAAACUAUUGUCGAUAGGGAAGAAAAAAGACUGUACCUAUCAAGAAAGCUCCGGCUAACUACGUGCCAGCAGCCGCGGUAAUACGUAGGGAGCAAGCGUUAUCCGGAAUUAUUGGGUGUAAAGGGUGCGUAGACGGGAUGUCAAGUCAGCGGUAAAAAUUCGGGGCUCAACCCCGUCGUGCCGUUGAAACUGAUGUUCUUGAGUGGGCGAGAAGU